AUUGAACGCUGGCGGCAUGCCUUACACAUGCAAGUCGAACGGUAACAGGUCUUCGGAUGCUGACGAGUGGCGAACGGGUGAGUAAUACAUCGGAACGUGCCCGAGAGUGGGGGAUAACGAGGCGAAAGCUUUGCUAAUACCGCAUACGAUCUCAGGAUGAAAGCAGGGGACCGCAAGGCCUUGCGCUCACGGAGCGGCCGAUGGCAGAUUAGGUAGUUGGUGGGAUAAAAGCUUACCAAGCCGACGAUCUGUAGCUGGUCUGAGAGGACGACCAGCCACACUGGGACUGAGACCCGGCCCAGACUCCUACGGGAGGCAGCAGUGGGGAAUUUUGGACGAUGGGCGCAAGCCUGAUCCAGCCAUGCCGCGUGCAGGAUGAAGGCCUUCGGGUUGUAAACUGCUUUUGUACGGAACGAAAAGACUCUGGUUAAUACCUGGGGUCCAUGACGGUACCGUAAGAAUAAGCACCGGCUAACUACGUGCCAGCCGCCGCGGUAAAAC
rnacentral:rRNA from 1 species